rnacentral:rRNA from 1 species
CAGUCGAGCGGAUGAAGAGAGCUUGGCUCUCUGAUUUAGCGGCGGACGGGUGAGUAAUGCCUAGGAAUCUGCCUGGUAGUGGGGGAUAACGUUCCGAAAGGAACGCUAAUACCGCAUACGUCCUACGGGAGAAAGCAGGGGACCUUCGGGCCUUGCGCUAUCAGAUGAGCCUAGGUCGGAUUAGCUAGUUGGUGAGGUAAUGGCUCACCAAGGCUACGAUCCGUAACUGGUCUGAGAGGAUGAUCAGUCACACUGGAACUGAGACACGGUCCAGACUCCUACGGGAGGCAGCAGUGGGGAAUAUUGGACAAUGGGCGAAAGCCUGAUCCAGCCAUGCCGCGUGUGUGAAGAAGGUCUUCGGAUUGUAAAGCACUUUAAGUUGGGAGGAAGGGCAGUAAGUUAAUACCUUGCUGUUUUGACGUUACCGACAGAAUAAGCACCGGCUAACUUCGUGCCAGCAGCCGCGGUAAUACGAAGGGUGCAAGCGUUAAUCGGAAUUACUGGGCGUAAAGCGCGCGUAGGAA